AUGCAUAAGCUCGUAAACGUUCAUUAUUUGGACAAGUCAACAUUUAUGCUUGGAAAUGACGAUGAAGGGGAAGAGGCUAUGGUUUUUGACACAAGUCCAAGCUUUGAUGAUCUUGUAGUUCAAGUGAGAAGCGUCUUACAUUGGAAUGACCCAAAUGCCGAGGUUAAGCUUAUUGGGAGGUAUGACGUUGGAUUGGGAGUAAAGUCCCAAUUAAAGAGUAUGCCCAUCACCUCCCAAUUGCAUUGGAAUGUGUACAAGGAAAAAGUAGACGCAUCACAAGACAAGUCUCUUGAGAUCUUUGCCACAAAGGUUGAUCCUCCUCCUCCUUUGCAAAUUGAUCUCAACCGCUAUGCAUCCUCCCCCAUGCAUGAUGACAGUGGCGAGGUGUAUGUCCCCAAUUCUUCUAGCCAACCACCAAGUAGCCAACCC
rnacentral:rRNA from 1 species